ACGGAAGGCAGCAGUGGGGAAUAUUGGGCAAUGGGCGAAAGCCUGACCCAGCAACGCCGCGUGAAGGAUGACGGUCUUCGGAUUGUAAACUUCUUUAAUUGGGGAAGAAUAAAUGACCUACCCAAAGCAUAAGUCACGGCUAACUACGUGCCAGCAGCCGCGGUAAUACGUAGGUGCCCAGCGUUAUCCGGAUUUACUGGGCGUAAAGGGCGUGUAGGCGGUUUGGCAAGUCAGAAGUGAAAUUCCUGAGCUCAACUCGGGCGCUGCUUCUGAAACUGCUAGACUUGAGUGCUGGAGGGGAGAGCGGAAUUCCAAGUGGAGCGGUAAAAUGCGAAGAUAUUAGGAAGAACACCGGUGGCGAAGGCGGCUAUCUGGACAGUAACUGACGCUGAGGCGCGAAAGCGUGGGGAGCAAACAGGAUUAGAUACCCUGGUA
rnacentral:rRNA from 1 species